UAGAAAAUAGUGUACUGGAAGCACGGAAAGUUUUGAUCUCUCUGGAUGGGGUUCAAAUCCCCUUUUUCUAA
rnacentral:tRNA from 1 species